rnacentral:rRNA from 2 species
UUCGCAAUGCCCGAAAGGGUGACGAAGCGACGCCGCGUGAGCGAAGAAGGCCUUAGGGUUGUAAAGCUCUGUCGAGGGUUAUGAAAUGUAAACAGGUUAAUACCCUGUUUAUUUGACAAAAGCCCAAGAGGAAGUCACGGCUAACUCUGUGCCAGCAGCCGCGGUAAUACAGAGGUGGCAAGCGUUGUUCGGUAUUAUUGGGCGUAAAGAGCACGUAGGUGGUUUUAUAAGUCAGGUGUGAAAGCCUUCUGUUCAAAGGAAGAACGGCAUCUGAAACUGUAGAUCUUGAGUAUAGGAGGGGAGAGUGGAACUUCUGGUGGAGCGGUGAAAUGCGUAGAUAUCAGAAGGAACGUCGGCGGCGAAAGCGACUCUCUGGCCUAUUACUGACACUGAGGUGCGAAAGUUAGGGGAGCAAACGGGAUUAGAUACCCCGGUAGUCCUAACCGUAAACGAUGGGCACUAAGUAGAGGGGUUUU